UCGGCAUGUAACCCCAUUAAAAAAAACAAGUAAAAAAAAACAAAUGUCCAAAAACGGCAUGUAGCCCCAUUAAAAUAAACAAUUAAAAAAAAAAACAAGUCCAAAAUCGGGUUUGAAAAUUUUUGUUUGCUUGAGUUUAGGGUUUAGCUUCCAUAUUGCCUCCGAAUUAAAAAAAAAAAAAAAUUUAAGCACACGGAAAAUGGGUCGAAAUUGGGCCCACAAUGGCCCAUAUAAGGGCCGCCUAGUGUGGUGGGGAGGGGCUUCUAUGUGGCAG
rnacentral:lncRNA from 1 species